AAUACAGUGACUGGAUGCUACUUGCUUUGCUAACACCUUUGAUAUAUGCAGUCUCAGUGUUUAUAAUAAAUGCUUCGGACUGUCGGACCCUGUAGAUUGCCAGGUUGAUUGAUGAACUGUCAAUUCUACUCUUUCAAGUACUUGUUACAAUUCUUGUUCUGCAACUUUCACAGUGGUUUUCAAAAUUUUCAAAUGGUCUUCUGGAGGGUUUUCCUUGGGUUUGGAGAAUUGUGGGUUCAGCUAUACAAAAUGGUGGUCAUCUAUUAUAUUUGUGGAACUGCUAAGAGGUGGUUGUGUUAGUAUUUGAUAAUCUACACUUCUGUUGGUGGUCUAUCAUGUCAUGUUGCUUUGCACACAUUUGUGGUUCUCCUCCUGCUUGGUUGGCUGGAUAUGCGUAUUUAAAAGAGCUUCUAAAGUUAAAGAAGUGAAGGUUUCCUCUUACUCAGGAGCUGCCCUUCAUCCCAAACUCUUUAGUUCUGUUUUUGCUCUGAGGAGGUAACUGGCAUCAUCAAUUACGCUGUCUUGCUCAAUUAGGGUGUGAAUUCGAUUGUUUUUGUCCUGUUGUUACCAGCAUUUACAUGAUUUUGGAGAGCUUCUCGUCAUAUGCAUCGUGAUGGUUGGGUUGGCUUCUGAAUGGUUGUUCAGGUUGUAUGUCCUCCUCUUCAUGUUAGGAGCUUAGGUUGAAGAACUCAUCUUUGUAGUGGGCAUUGUUUGGAAGUG